GCUCCUUUGGGCGACCGUCUUUUGCCUGGUGACGCCUAUUCAGUGGACUCGGUCAGAGGACGGACCGCUUCGAUUCGAAGAUUUCCUCCCACCCGAGGUUUUCAAGAAAUAUGACAAGAUGAAACCUCCAAAGACUGAAGGUCAACCGACGAAAGUUGACUUUCAUGUCACAGUAAUGCAAAUAGACUCGAUCAACGAGAAUUCCAUGACAUAUGUCGCCGACAUAUUUUUUGCUCAGUCCUGGAAAGAUCACAGACUUCAUCUUCCGGAAAAUAUGACAUCAGAUUACAGG